CCUACGGGCGGCAGCAGUGAGGAAUAUUGGUCAAUGGUCGGGAGACUGAACCAGCCAAGCCGCGUGAGGGAGGAAGGUACAGAGUAUCGUAAACCUCUUUUGUCAGGGAACAAAGACUGGGACGCGUCCCCGGAUGAGUGUACCUGAAGAACAAGCAUCGGCUAACUCCGUGCCAGCAGCCGAGUUAAUACGGAGGAUGCGAGCGUUAUCCGGGUUUAUUGGGUUAAAAGGGUGCGCGGGGGGUCGGUUAAGGAAGCGGGAAAACCCCGGGGCCAAACCCCGGCCCGCCGUUGAAACUGGCAGUCUCGAGUUGGAGAGAAGUAUGCGGAAUGCGCGGUGUAGCGGUGAAAUGCAUAGAUAUCGCGCAGAACUCCGAUUGCGAAGGCAGCAUGCCGGCUCCACACUGACGCUGAGGCACGAAAGCGUGGGUAUCGAACAGGAUUAGAUACCCUGGUAGUC
rnacentral:rRNA from 1 species